rnacentral:pre_miRNA from 1 species
CAUCUUACUAGACAGUGCUGGAUUUCUCGAAUCUACUCUAACACUGUCUGGUAACGAUGUU